ensembl:lncRNA
UUUCCAUAUUAUACUUGAGAGAGGGGACAGUAAACAGUUUUCUUUUCUAAAAAAAAAAAAAAAAUAGCAGCAGACAUGUAUUGUGAUGAAAUCAUGUAAUUUCUCUCUGACGUGUUGAUGUAGUAAAGUUGGAUCAGCCAUGGACAAAGGUUUGCUGCUGGUCCUGUUGUGUCUGCAGGUCGUCCUGCUCACCACAGUCUUCACUUCUGCUGAUGCAGCCGCUCUGCUGAGAGAUGAUCAGCAUCAACAACCUGUUGAUCCAAUGAGAAGUCUGCAGCAAAUGAAAGGAAGACGACAGACGGAGCAGAAACUUCCAUACUGGAUAUUCUGCGGGAGGAGACGAGGAGGAUGCACUUUGACAGGAGACCUGCCACGUCCUGGGAUCAUCUUUUGACCAGUUCAAGUCACAUUCAAUAGACAUCUUGAGUCAAGCUCUGCAGGAAAUGCCAUUAGAUGCAAAAGACAGCAAAUGAAUGAAGAUAAUUGUAAUGCUUACAAAAUAAUGCAAGUGCUUUUUAUUAGAAAUAAAAAUUUCAAAUCAGA